rnacentral:rRNA from 1 species
UAGGGAAUCUUCCGCAAUGGACGCAAGUCUGACGGAGCAACGCCGCGUGAGUGAAGAAGGAUUUCGGUUCGUAAAACUCUGUUGUUAGAGAAGAACAGCGCAUAGAGUAACUGUUAUGCGUGUGACGGUAUCUAACCAGAAAGCCACGGCUAACUACGUGCCAGCAGCCGCGGUAAUACGUAGGUGGCAAGCGUUGUCCGGAUUUAUUGGGCGUAAAGCGAGCGCAGGCGGUCAAUUAAGUCUGAUGUGAAAGACCCCGGCUCAACCGGGGAGGGUCAUUGGAAACUGGUUGACUUGAGUGCAGAAGAGGAGAGUGGAAUUCCAUGUGUAGCGGUGAAAUGCGUAGAUAUAUGGAGGAACACCAGUGGCGAAGGCGACUCUCUGGUCUGUAACUGACGCUGAGGCUCGAAAGCGUGGGUAGCAAACAGG